rnacentral:rRNA from 1 species
AUUGAACGCUGGCGGCAUGCUUUACACAUGCAAGUCGAACGGUAACAGGGUGCUUGCACCGCUGACGAGUGGCGAACGGGUGAGUAAUGCGUCGGAACGUGCCGAGUAGUGGGGGAUAACGCAGCGAAAGUUGUGCUAAUACCGCAUACGUACUGAGGUAGAAAGUGGGGGACCUUCGGGCCUCACGCUAUUCGAGCGGCCGACGUCUGAUUAGCUAGUAGGUGAGGUAAAGGCUCACCUAGGCGACGAUCAGUAGCGGGUCUGAGAGGAUGAUCCGCCAAACUGGGACUGAGACACGGCCCAGACUCCUACGGGAGGCAGCAGUGGGGAAUUUUGGACAAUGGGCGAAAGCCUGAUCCAGCCAUGCCGCGUGUCUGAAGAAGGCCUUCGGGUUGUAAAGGACCUUUGUCGGGGAGGAAAUCCCCAGCGUUAAUACCGCUGGGGGAUGACAGUACCUGAAGAAUAAGCACCGACUAACUACGUGCCAGCCGCCGCAGUAAGAC